rnacentral:tRNA from 1 species
GACGUCGUGUCCGAGUGGUUAAGGAGAGUGAUUAGAAUCAUCACGUGAUUUAAUAUUAUCGUGGAAAUAUCACUUGGGUUCGCCCGCGCAUGUUCGAAUCAUGCCGACGUCG